CCUACGGGUGACAGCAGUGGGGAAUAUUGCACAAUGGGGGCAACCCUGAUGCAGCGACGCCGCGUGAGCGAUGAAGUACUUCGGUAUGUAAAGUUCUAUCAGCAGGGAAGAAAAUGACGGUACCUGACUACGAAGCCCCGGCUAACUACGUGCCAGCAGCCGCGGUAAUACGUAGGGGGCAAGCGUUAUCCGGAUUUACUGGGUGGAAAGGGAGCGUAGACGGCGGUGCAAGCGAGAUGUGAAAGCCCGGGGCUCAACCCCGGGACUGCAUUUGGAACUGUGCUGCUAGAGUGUCGGAGAGGCAGGCGGAAUUCCUAGUGUAGCGGUGAAAUGCGUAGAGAUUAGGAGGAACACCGGUGGCGAAGGCAGCCUGCUGGACGAUGACUGACGUUGAGGCUCGAAAGCGUGGGGAGCAAACAGGAUUAGAUACCCCUGUAGUC
rnacentral:rRNA from 1 species